rnacentral:lncRNA from 1 species
AUGCGUUUGCUGCGUGGUUUAACUCAGCUGAUCCCCUGCUCUCUCCCUUCGCUCAUGUCCUCCCUCCUCUUUGUCUGUCGCUUUCCCGGCCCCCGCCGUCUCCCCGCUCAGCCGCCUGCUCGGAAGUGCCCCCUACGCAGCUCCUCCCGCACUGAUGCACUUUCUCCUCGCACACAUCCCCGUUCAGGGGGAAGCCCGGCCCCCCCCCCCCCCCCGCCUCCCCCCCCCCCCCCCCCCCCGCUCGGUCCCCCGGGGGUUCCGCCGGGAUCAGCAGAGCCCCGCCGCCAAUCCCGCCGCUCCCGCCGCAGCGCCCGGCCCGGCCAUUGGCCCGGCCUGAGCCGUCGAAAGGUUCGCACCGGGGAGGCCCGGGGGACUGGGGGGGGGGGGGGCGGAGACCCCUCUGCUGUCGCCGCUGCUGCUCCUCCUCAGCUUCUUGGCCUCGCGAUUGUGGCUCCUGCUUUGAAAAGCUUCCCCCCACCUUUUGUUUGUUUGGGGUUUUUUUCCCCUAUCCUAUCCCCCCCCACACUUUUCCCGAUUUUUUCCUCUUUUUUUUUUCUUUUAAUUUUUCCCCUUUUUCUCCCCCGUUUUUCCCCUUCCCUUUUCCCCCCCUUUCUGUUCCUUUCAGCCCUCUCUCCCUUCCCACCCUUUUUCCCUUUCCUUUUUUCUCCUAUUUUCCUCCUUUCCCCCCUUUUUUUCCUUUUCCCGUUUUUCCCUUUUUCUCUUCUUCCCCCCCCCUUUUUCCCCACUUUUCCUCCCUUUCCCCCCCUUCCCCUCUUUUUUCUUUCCCCUCCGUUCCCCUUUUUCCUCCGUUUCCUCUUUUCCCCUCCCUUCCCCCUUUUUCCCCUCCCUUCCCCCUUUUUUCCCCUUUUCUCUCUUAUCCCAUUCCCCCCCUUUUUUUCUCUUUUUCCCUUCCCCCCCUUUUCACUCAUUUUCCGUUUUCCCUUUUUCCCCUUUUAUUCUUAUUUUUUUUCCUUUUUCCCCUUUUCUCUUUUUUUUUUUUUUCCCUUUUCCCUUUUUAAUUUCCCGGUUUAA